rnacentral:rRNA from 1 species
CCUACGGGAGGCAGCAGUGGGGAAUUUUGGACAAUGGGCGAAAGCCUGAUCCAGCAAUGCCGCGUGAGUGAAGAAGGCCUUCGGGUUGUAAAGCUCUUUUGUCAGGGAAGAAACGGUGAGAGCUAAUAUCUCUUGCUAAUGACGGUACCUGAAGAAUAAGCACCGGCUAACUACGUGCCAGCAGCCGCGGUAAUACGUAGGGUGCAAGCGUUAAUCGGAAUUACUGGGCGUAAAGCGUGCGCAGGCGGUUUUGUAAGUCUGAUGUGAAAUCCCCGGGCUCAACCUGGGAAUUGCAUUGGAGACUGCAAGGCUAGAAUCUGGCAGAGGGGGGUAGAAUUCCACGUGUAGCAGUGAAAUGCGUAGAUAUGUGGAGGAACACCGAUGGCGAAGGCAGCCCCCUGGGUCAAGAUUGACGCUCAUGCACGAAAGCGUGGGGAGCAAACAGGAUUAGAUACCCUGGUAGUCCACGCCCUAAACGAUGUCUACUAGUUGUCGGGUCUUAAUUGACUUGGUAACGCAGCUAACGCGUGAAGUAGACCGCCUGGGGAGUACGGUGCAAGNUUAAAACUCAAAGGAAUUGACGGNNGAGAGNGCGAGCGACGACGAGGGAGAGG